rnacentral:rRNA from 1 species
UCCUACGGGAGGCAGCAGUGGGGAAUAUUGCACAAUGGGCGCAAGCCUGAUGCAGCAACGCCGCGUGCGGGAUGACGGCCUUCGGGUUGUAAACCGCUUUUAGUAAGGAAGAAGGGGAGCUUGCUCCUUGACGGUACUUGCAGAAAAAGGACCGGCUAACUACGUGCCAGCAGCCGCGGUAAUACGUAGGGUCCGAGCGUUGUCCGGAAUUAUUGGGCGUAAAGAGCUCGUAGGCGGUUUGUCGCGUCUGCCGUGAAAUCCUCAGGCUCAACCGGAGGUUGGCGGUGGGUACGGGCAGACUUGAGUGGUGUAGGGGAGACUGGAAUUCCUGGUGUAGCGGUGGAAUGCGCAGAUAUCAGGAGGAACACCGAUGGCGAAGGCAGGUCUCUGGGCACUUACUGACGCUGAGGAGCGAAAGCGUGGGGAGCGAACAGGAUUAGAUACCCCGGUAGUCG